CCAGUUUUGGAUGCUCCAUAGAACAUGGUAGGUCCAGAAGCCAGAGGAGAGUGAGAGAAUCACAAACAGACACGCAGGACAAGAUUCCAAAACCCGACUGGACUUGGACGCAGCCACGGUGCCGCUCUGUGCACCGACGCCCCCCCUCUCAUCACCUUCCCCACUAGAGCUUCCUGGCCUGGUUUUGGUGUCCUUGGGUGGCCUCAGAGCUGCAGACCCCCUGAAGUUUCUAUACCAGCAUUUCUAACCUUGACACUAUGGAAUUUCAAGCCAGACAAUUCUUUGUUGUGGGAGGCCAUUCUGAGCAUUGUAGACUUCCUAGUCUGUACCGCCGAAUGCUAGCGGCAGCCUUUCUUCUCCAAGCUGCGACAAUCAAAAAUGUCUGCAGACAUUGCCAAAUGGCCCCUGGGAGGCAAAGCUACCCUUUGGUUGACAGCUGCUGAUCUAUACAACAGUGCGGCUGUCACCCACUGCUCAGGUCCAGGAGGGCAGCUCUCCCAGGGAGGCCAAGGGUCUGGGAAGGUGAGUACACACAGAAGUCGGAAGUAAAGAGCCACCAGCAAAGGUGACCCACCUGGACACCUUCACCACAGCAGCACUGGGCUCUCCCGCGCUGUGCUGUGAUGCUGCAACCCAGGCCUCAUGUGUCUCCCUGGGCCUGCCUCAAUGCGGGCUGCCUGUGGCCUGUCCCCUUGCCUUCUCCAGAUAAAAAGUCAUUCUGUUCCUGGA
rnacentral:lncRNA from 1 species